rnacentral:rRNA from 1 species
CCUACGGGUGGCAGCAGUGAGGAAUAUUGGUCAAUGGACGCAAGUCUGAACCAGCCAAGCCGCGUGCAGGAGGACGGCUCUAUGAGUUGUAAACUGCUUUUGUACGAGGGUAAACCCCGGUACGUGUAUCCGGUUGAGAGUACCGUACGAAUAAGCAUCGGCUAACUCCGUGCCAGCAGCCGCGGUAAUACGGAGGAUCCGAGCGUUAUCCGGAUUUAUUGGGUUUAAAGGGUGCGUAGGCGGUUUGAUAAGUGAGAGGUGAAAUGUCGGGGCUCAACCCCGACACUGCCUCUAAUACUGUUGGACUAGAGAAUAGUUGCGGUAGGCGGAAUGUAUGGUGUAGCGGUGAAAUGCUUAGAGAUCAUACAGAACUCCGAUUGCGAAGGCAGUUCACUGCACUGCAACUGACACUGAGGCUCGAAAGUGUGGGUAUCAAACAGGAUUAGAUACCCUUGUAGUC